UACGAAGGGAGCUAGCGUUGUUCGGAAUUACUGGGCGUAAAGCGCACGUAGGCGGACAUUUAAGUCAGGGGUGAAAUCCCAGAGCUCAACUCUGGAACUGCCUUUGAUACUGGGUGUCUUGAGUAUGGAAGAGGUGAGUGGAAUUCCGAGUGUAGAGGUGAAAUUCGUAGAUAUUCGGAGGAACACCAGUGGCGAAGGCGGCUCACUGGUCCAUUACUGACGCUGAGGUGCGAAAGCGUGGGGAGCAAACAGG
rnacentral:rRNA from 1 species